GUGGAGCAAAAAUAAGUUGCAGGUCAUUGUUGGUACGGUGGCAUUUGGUAUGGGAAUCAACAAACCAGAUGUCAGGUUUGUCAUCCAUCACAGCCUGAGUAAAUCAAUGGAAACAUACUACCAGGAAAGUGGUCGAGCUGGAAGGGAUGGAGCCCCUUCUGAAUGUCUACUCUUUUUUAGACCUGCUGAUGUUCCCAGGCAGAGUUCAAUGGUCUUCUAUGAGAAUUCUGGACUGCAGAAUCUUUAUGACAUAGUACGAUAUUGCCAGUCAAAAAGAAAAUGUCGCCGAAGUGCCUUUUUCCAACAUUUUUCUGAGCCACUACGAGACUGCAAUGGGAUGUGUGAUAAUUGUGCAUUCUCCAGCGAUAUUAUAGAAGUUGAUGUGUCUGGUCAUGCAAAAAUUAUGGUUUCAUUGCUGCAAGAUAUGCAAGAGAAUGAUCAACGACUGACAAUGUUGCAAUUGGUGGACAAAAUAAAAAAUAAGCACAAGGAAAUAGGUGCUGAGCUUAGGAG
rnacentral:misc_RNA from 1 species